rnacentral:lncRNA from 1 species
AAAAAUAUUAAAUUGAUUUACUUUUUCCAUUUCUUUUCCAACCUCAGGAGAUUCAAGUAGUUUUCCAUUCAUCCCCGAAACUUUUUCAGUAGCCAAAUGUGCCUCAAUAUCAAAAAAAUCAUCUAAAAAAAAGGAAAUUACACAGAAAUAUCACAACAACACUCACAAAAUAUUCAAAAGUUAAUAAAAUAAAUUUUCCUUAACCCUUGGAAGAU